rnacentral:lncRNA from 1 species
GGCUGCAGAUGCAGCAUACGGAAGUUCCCAGGCUAGGGGUUGAAUCAAAGCUGUGGUUGCCACAGCCACAGCAAUGCCAGAUCUGAGCCACAUCUGUGACCUAUACCAUAGCUCAUGGCAACACAGGAUCCUUAACCCACUGAGUGAGGCCAGGGAUUGAACCCACAUCCUAAUGGAUCCUAGUAGGUUUUUUACUGCUGAGCCACAAUGGGAACUCUGCUUUUGUUAUUUUUAAUGUGGCUUCUCUCUCUAUUGCUUUUAUACUUUGAGAUAUUAACACUUUUUAUUUGAACCCUUGUAUCUCUUCUUAGAGAAAACAUGUUAACUGGAACUCUUUGAGAAUAUAAAGAACUAUUUUAUAAAAAUAUUCCUGUGUUUCUUUGUCUAAUUAGUCUUACAAUGUGUUAUUUCUACCUGUUUUUACUCAUGUUUCUUAAUUUUGUUUCCUCUUUUUUUCCUCUUUUGUCUUUUGGAUAGGUCUUAUUAUUUAUUUUGGAGGGAGUUUGACUAUUUUGUGCAGAAAAGUGUUGAGAAUGGUGGGAUUGCAGGGAAGGUGGGUACAACGGAACACCUGCAGCUUUGGUGCAUUGAACACCUGAGGGCUUGUAUCAGUGAGGCUCACAGCAACACUCUUUGGGGCAGGGCUCUCUGUGUUUUGCUCUGACACUCACUCCUUCUUUUCCUUCACACCCUUUCACUGUAAGGAACACUCCUCAGCUUAGCAUCUGGUUAUAGAACAUAGAAAUUACCCAUCUGCAUAGUUCCCUCCAAACUCAUCUUCUUUCUCUGUUCAAUUUGCCACAGAAUAGUUUUUCUCCCUUACCAAUGUCAGGUUGUAUUUGUGGCCUGAGAUUUUAUAACUCCAGGUAAAUAAUCUUUAGAUUUAUCUUUCAGGAUGACACUUGGUACCCAGAGCACCAAGAUGGCAAAGUCAGUUCUGAGGCCCCAGGAAAGAGUACAGAUUUGUACAAUAAAUACCUAUAUAUCAUCUAGAUUCUGCCACUAAGGUUUUACUGUUUUUGUUUAAUCCUAUGCCUAUCCAUUUAUAUAUUCCUCUUUCCUUCUAACAGUGAAUUAAUAAUCAUCUUUGCUAUUUUAUUCCCCACCUCCCCCAAGAAAGAAUAACAAUGUGCCAGAGGUAGAUGCUUAGGAAGUAGUAAAACUUAAUUUUCAGUUAUAGUCAGUUUAAAAAUCAUAGAAAAAGUUCGUGUGUUGCCCUUUGAUAAAAAUGAGUAACGUUGUCAAGUAAUUAGUAAUAUAAUCAAAAAUUAGUUUAUACAGGGACCAAACUUGCAUCAAUAACCAUAUCUAUAAAUUUUUUCUCUGUGGGACUUGGUCCAUUGGAGCAUCUUGCUUCAAACAAAAAGUGAGUUUAUUCAGAUGUCAUCCAUAUCAUAUAAAAUUAAUAUAGAUAAUUUCCUUCUGUACAGGUCAUCUUUCUUGACCCUGGCACAAGUGACUAGGGACCUAUUACAGAAAUCCUCACUAUUACAUCAAUCAAAUAAACUGGUUUUCAUUUUGCUUGUGUUGGAGGUGGAAGAUACUGCCAGUUAAGAACAGCUUCAGAGCUUUUGUACACUGCAGAGUGACACACAGAACCCACUAGAAUUGUUCAUACGCUUACCUCUCUACCACAGUUUUGACAUUUGAGACAAUCGCAUGGAAGGUCAACCAACAAUGCAUUUUCCACCCAGGGAAUAUGACAGAAGUGUUGAUAAAGGGAAGUAUAAGAUAUCCAACAACCCUAAAAUCUGAAGGGAUCAGGAAUUGAGACCUGAGGAGCUAGCUUGUAUCCCUUUCUUCAUCAUGGACACAAAUCAGGAUGAAGUGAAGAGAAAAAGCAUGAGUCCAGUUCAAGUAGAUUUUCUCCACCUUGGGUUCUACUAAUAAUAGCAAUAUGAACUUACUCUCACGGGAUAAAAUCCAUUGGUCUGGGGGGGUACCAUCUUAAGAAAGAGGUCUAACAUGUGGGAAAUGGGAAACUGAAUACAUACUGGUUGUCAUGGAGUCAGGUAUGAUCUCACCUGUGUGACCAUAUAUCUUAGCUUUCCUGAGACAGUUCUGGUUUACUGCCUUAUUUAUUACUAUCAUAUACAUUUAUAUUAGCAAUUCCUCUUUACCAUUUAAAGUAUGGAUAAUAAAUUAGGUCUUCACCUAAGGCAUCAAUGAAUACAAAAAUGGUGGAAAUUUUUUCUCCCAUGACUUUUAACUGACAUUGAUUACUAAAUCAGGAGGAAACUUUUAAUUAGCUGGAUAAGUACCCCUCAAAUAGGAAUAUCGACUCCCCAAAGUGGUAGAUAAAAAUCCCAGCAUGAAAAUGGUGAAAACCACAGGGUAUAUCGACAAAUAAGGUCAAGUGAACACAAAAUCCUGAUAUAUUGUUUUCAAAACAAAGCAAAAAAACUUAAGAGAAAAUAUUUCUCAGCUGGGGCUGUAGCUGCCUUUCUAUGUUGCUGACUAUAAACCUCCAGCAUACAAUUCUCAAGAAAGGUACCUGGAUCAAUGGAGAAAACUCAAGUUUCUCUUGUCUCCCUGUCUGAACAAAGAGAAGACAUGGAUAGAUUGCAUAGACCUGUCAUGCUCAAGAGUGUAUCAGAAAAUGUAAGCCACACACUGGCAUGCACAUGCAUAGCCAGUGUGUGUGAAAAAACACUCAGCAACUAGAAUGGAAGUUAAAAAACAAAGGAGACAGAAGAAAGAAAAAUGAAGAGUGUAAUUUUGAAGAAGAGAAUACUGUUUUGCAUUCACUGGGAAAAUUAGGGAAACAAACUAAAACAUGGCUCAACGAAAGAUAAGAACGGAAGAUAUCACAUGAGAUAGAAAGGGAGGCUUCAGAGCGAGAGAAAGAAACUAAGGAAAGUUCAAAACAAAGAAUGCCAUCUGACAAAAAUAAACUAGCAUCAGAUAAUCUUAGUAACUGCGACAUGUUGUCUCCAAAUAUGGCCGGAAACAACUCCUCCCAUCCCGGCAUCACCACGGGGGCCCUCCAAUCAGGAAGAUUCCAUUCCCCUUUUCUAUGAAACCAGUACCCUUGUGACUUGGUUUGGAUCAAAUGGAAGGUGGGAGACAUGUGGCUCUAGGACCUCCCAGACCAGGAAUUAACAAGACUGGCAGCUUCCACUUUCUCCCUCUCAGCUCCCAGUUUCCAAGUUGUCCAGGAUAGACCAUUGGAUGGCUAGAGGCCAUGUGAAGAGAGGCUUUUGAGGAUGAAAAGUUGUUCUGUAGUUGAAGCCUCACCACAGUUCAAGCUGAAUGCAGCCACAUGAGUGACCUCAGUAGUAACCAUUGAACAGAACAGCCCAGCAGAGCCAACUCAAGAUAUAGGUUAAAGAGAAAUAACACUUAUUGUAUUUUAAAUCACUAAGCUUUACAGUGGGCUGUAGCAAGAUGUUUUGAAACAGUAACUAACAGUCCUCAUAUAACUGGUAUAUGCCAAACUCUGGGAUAAGCACUUCAUUUAAUUUUCAAAUUCCUUUUUCUUCACCCCUAAUAUCAUAACUUUUUGUUAAGCCCUCAGUCUUGCCCAAACAGAAAAAAAAAGGAUAAAAGGCUUUCAAGUUGGAGUCCUAGACUUCUAACUUGAUCCCACCUCCAACUGAUCCUCUCUGCUGUCACUAGAGAAAGUUAUGUAAAAUGAAAUUUAAGCCAUUACCCAACUACAAAUUUCAUAUUUUUCUCUAAUCUGUCUCUCCAGUAUGUUUCUCAAUUUCACUCCAAUAAUGUCUCACUACUUCUUCCUCCUCUAAAUCCACCCAUGAUGUCCCUUUACCCCCAAUGACCUUUUCUAUUCUCUUUAAUUUCACCUGCAAAUAUUUCACCUUUCAGACAGCAGCUCAGAUAUCAUGUCUUCCAAGGAGCUUGUCUUGACUGUAUUUUCCCAGGAUUAGAUAAAGGGUCUCCCUGGAUUACCCAGACCACCACUGGAACAGGUGUUAUAAUGACUUGGCUACUACAUUGUAUCCAGCUGUUUAUAAAUCUGCCAUGUGCAGUAGACAAUAAUCCUGUUAAAGACAAAGGUUUGCUGUUCCUGGAAGUUGCUCUAUAGCUAUGUGACCUUAGACAUAAGCUCUCUGUGCCUCCUCAUUCUUUCUCUGUAAAGUAAGACCUCUCCCAUGGAGCUUUGUUAUGAUGAUUAAAUGAGUUGGGCAAGUGUUGUGUUUAGAACCAUUGAUGGUAAUUUAAUUUAUUAUUAUUAUUUUUUAUUGCUCAAUAUAUGUCUGUUGAAUAUAGUAAACCUAAAAAGAUGGGUAAGAUUUGGCGAAGAAAGAGAGAAGAGAUGAGGGAACGAAGGAAUGUCUUCAAGGUAUAAGUAACAUUCUCCCUAAUUCAGUGAAUGGUCUCACCAUCUACACAGGCACUCAGACCACAAACUCAAGAGGUGUGUUGUCCUGAGAUGUUCCAUGGCCCUGCAUUCCUAAUAUUCAAUCACCCCUCAGUUUUUCCUCCAAUAUGCAUGUUGAGUCUGUCCGCCUAUCUCUAUGUCCCUGGCUACCACUCUAAAACAUCAUUAUUUUCUUUGGAAAUAACCACAGUAGUCUCACAAUGGGCUUCUAUGCCCUACCCCCUCUCUACUCCCCACAACUCCUUGCCCUUUAGAAAUUCAUUUACCAAAGGUUAAAUUCUUUUUUUUUUUUUUUUUCUUUUUAGGGCCACACCUGUGGCGUAUGGAAGUUCUCAGGCUAGGGGUCCAAACAGAGCUGCGGCUGCCAGCCUACACCACAGUCAGAGCAACACAGGAUUUGAGCCACAUCUGCAACCCAUACCACAACUCCCAGCAAUGCUGGAUUCUUAACCCACUGAGUGAGGUCAGGGAUCAAACCCACAUCCCCAUGAAUACUAGUCGGGUUCAUUAAUUGCUGAGCCACAACUUGACUACCUGUCAGAUGCCAUCCACCCUCUCUUCUUCAUCAUCCUCCAUGUACAGUGGACUCCCUCCAGGUCCCCACUUAGCCUUUUCCCACCAAGAGUCCUCUCCAAACCUCCUAAGCUUUGCCAAUUCUCUUUUCUUUGUUCUCUCAGUGAUCUUACUUUCUCAUCUUUCAAAAUUCAGGUAAACCAUCCCCAGUCUUCUCCUCUAUGGCA